UGCGCAGGCGGGCCUAUUAGUCAGUGGUGAAAUCCCGGGGCUCAACUCCGGAACUGCCAUUGAUACUGUAGGUCUUGAGUUUGGUUGAAGUGGGCGGAAUGUAGCAUGUAGCGGUGAAAUGCAUAGAUAUGCUACAGAACACCGAUCGCGAAGGCAGCUCACUAAACCAAAACUGACGCUCAGGCACGAAAGCGUGGGUAGCGAACAGGAUUAGAUACCCUGGUAGUCC
rnacentral:rRNA from 1 species